rnacentral:rRNA from 1 species
UGGGGAAUUUUGGACAAUGGGCGCAAGCCUGAUCCAGCCAUGCCGCGUGAGUGAAGAAGGCCUUCGGGUUGUAAAGCUCUUUCGGCGGGGACGAAACGGUUCGUGACAACACCACGGACUAAUGACGGUACCCGCAUAAGAAGCACCGGCUAACUACGUGCCAGCAGCCGCGGUAAUACGUAGGGUGCAGGCGUUAAUCGGAAUUACUGGGCGUAAAGCGUGCGCAGGCGGUUUGUUAAGACAGGUGUGAAAUCCCCGGGCUUAACCUGGGAAUUGCGCUUGUAACUGCAUAGCUGGAGUACGGCAGAGGGGGAUGGAAUUCCGCGUGUAGCAGUGAAAUGCGUAGAUAUGCGGAGGAACACCGAUGGCGAAGGCAGUCCCCUGGGCCUGUACUGACGCUCAUGCACGAAAGCGUGGGGAGCAAACAGGAUUAGAUACCCUUGUAGUCCCUGAGCGGGCUGGCAAGGCGCAU